rnacentral:rRNA from 1 species
UACGGGGGGGCAAGCGUUGUUCGGAAUUACUGGGCGUAAAGGGCUCGUAGGCGGCCCUCUCAGUCGGAUGUGAAAUCCCCAGGCUUAAACCUCGGGGAACGGCAUCCGAUACUGGAGGGCUUGAAUUCGGGAGAGGGAUGCAGGAAUUCCGAGGUGUAGCGGUGAAAUGACGUAGAUAUCGAGAGGAACACCUGCGGCGAAGGCGGGUAGCUGGGCCGUUCCUGAACGCUGAGACGCGAAAGCUAAGGGGGAGCGAACGAGGA